rnacentral:lncRNA from 1 species
GUUCCCCCAAUAAACCUCCUGUACUCAGUCCUCUACCAAGAGUCUGCUUCCGGGGGAAUUUGCCCUAAGAUAGUCGUAACAGGACUGGCCCUAGGAAGGAGACUCUAAAAUGAUAUUUUGGAGCUCCAUCAUCCACUUGCUGGUUUACAAUGAUCUCAUCAUAGACAGCAGAGAAGAGCAUCUCUCUCAGAGGAGGCACUGAACAGCCAAAUACACAGAAGAACUUGUUCGGUUGACAUCCUUCCAUCAGCUUCUGCUAUUGGCCACCUGGAUGCUGGUAAAAUGGGCAGAGAGGUAUAUCAGCCACAACUGUAAACUGGAGAGAACAAGAGCCUCCUAUCCUCUAGGAUUGCUGAUUUCCUGUGUAAUGAUUAUCAAUGUUGAAGUGAAAAGAGACAGCUGAAUUCAUCAGUGGGAUAGGAGGGUCAAGUCAAGUUACCAGCAUUCCACACGACUGAUUUAAUGUACCUAAGAUUGUGGUCUGUAUUUCCUGUGACAAGAUUCCUUCCUGAUGAUUUAUCAAGGAAGAGGUUCUUACUUUUAGAUUCAGGUCUCUCUGUGAAAAACAUGUUAACCUAGAAAGUUGUCUCACCAAACACUAGGAAAUGUGGCAUAAUUGGAUAUCAACUUUGAUGCAUUGAUUUUUAAUGGAACAUCAGCAUCUGAU